rnacentral:rRNA from 1 species
CAUUAAAGAAUCGCCCCGUUUUUUGAAAUGGGUUCUAUUCCCAAACCGUGUAUACAUUCCUUUGUUGCUUUGGCAGGCCGUCUUUUAGGCGUUGGCUCCGGCUGACUGCGCCUGCCAGAGGACCCAAACUCUUUUGUUUAGUGAUGUCUGAGUACUAUAUAAUAGUUAAAACUUUCAACAACGGAUCUCUUGGUUCUGGCAUCGAUGAAGAACGCAGCGAAAUGCGAUAAGUAAUGUGAAUUGCAGAAUUCAGUGAAUCAUCGAAUCUUUGAACGCACAUUGCGCCCCUUGGUAUUCCGAGGGGCAUGCCUGUUCGAGCGUCAUUAUAACCACUCAAGCCCUCGGCUUGGUCUUGGGGUUCGCGGUUUCGCGGCCCUUAAAAUCAGUGGCGGUGCCGUCUGGCUCUAAGCGUAGUAAUCCUCUCGCUAUAGGGUCCAGGUAACCACCUGUCAGAACCCCCCCAUUCUUUAUGGUUG